GGCAAGACGGAAAGACCCCGUGAACCUUUACUAUAGCUUGACACUGAACAUUGAGCCUUGAUGUGUAGGAUAGGUGGGAGGCUUUGAAGUGUGGACGCCAGUCUGCAUGGAGCCGGCCUUGAAAUACCACCCUUUAAUGUUUGAUGUUCUAACGUGGACCCGUGAUCCGGGUUGCGGACAGUGUCUGGUGGGUAGUUUGACUGGGGCGGUCUCCUCCUAAAGAGUAACGGAGGAGCACGAAGGUUGGCUAAUCCUGGUCGGACAUCAGGAGGUUAGUGCAAUGGCAUAAGCCAGCUUGACUGCGAGCGUGACGGCGCGAGCAGGUGCGAAAGCAGGUCAUAGUGAUCCGGUGGUUCUGAAUGGAAGGGCCAUCGCUCAACGGAUAAAAGGUACUCCGGGGAUAACAGGCUGAUACCGCCCAAGAGUUCAUAUCGACGGCGGUGUUUGGCACCUCGAUGUCGGCUCAUCACAUCCUGGGGCUGAAGUAGGUCCCAAGGGUAUGGCUGUUCGCCAUUUAAAGUGGUACGCGAGCUGGGUUUAGAACGUCGUGAGACAGUUCGGUCCCUAUCUGCCGUGGGCGCUGGAGAACUGAGGGGGGCUGCUCCUAGUACGAGAGGACCGGAGUGGACGCAUCACUGGUGUUCGGGUUGUCAUGCCAAUGGCACUGCCCGGUAGCUAAAUGCGGAAGAGAUAAGUGCUGAAAGCAUCUAAGCACGAAACUUGCCCCGAGAUGAGUUCUCCCUGAGACUUA
rnacentral:rRNA from 1 species